rnacentral:lncRNA from 1 species
UGGAGGAGAAAAAAGUUGUUGCAGCUGUCGUGCGCAAUGGAGGCUGGAUAUGGCGGUCGGCGGAUGGGAUGCAAUGGCUGGCAGGGGCAGAAUCUUGGGCGGCGGCGCUCGGGCAUUGGAUUCUACUUGUGCGUUAGAGUCAGUUCGCAUGCUGACUAGACAGUGCGCUCGCUAGUUCUGUAGUUACUCUGUAGUUCCCUGCUACCAGUGAUCGAAGUUGGAAGCUCAAUGUAAGUUUCCCACUUACCUUGUUUACUUGUGAUGGUUUUUCCAUGCGUGAUUCUUUGGGGCAUAGGAAUUUUACUAAAACAAGCUUUAUUUGCACAAGAAUCUGAACAAUUUCCUGGUCUGGUCUGAAAGAUACAUGUUUGGGUAGAUAGGUUUCAGUGAUUGAAAAUAUUGCAUGUUAUUAUUGGUGAAUUAGUUCAUGGAGAAAUAAAACUGGAAGAUCAGGAAAAAAAUUGCUAUCAAUUUUUGAUUUGAUACUCUGAUGUAUUCUGUUGUCGACAAAAUUAUAUAGUCAAAUGAGGCAUGUAGCAUAGGCAUUCAGUCUAGAAUGAUUUUUUGGUGACGAUAAUCAUGAAUUCUCUUGGGUUCUUUCCUGAUACUUGGCAGUUGUAGAAUAUCAUAUCCACUAUUUAUUUGAAAUAUGACAUCUCCAUUGUUAUUGUAGAAUAUCAUAUCCAUUAUUUAUUUGAAAUAUGGCAUCUCCAUUGUUACUACUGGAGCUGAAAAAUAUAUUUCACAACUACCUAAAUAAAUCUAUUUUGUCAUUUAUUACUGACUUUUUGACUCCUAGGUCCAAAGAAAAAAUUUCUGCAAGUGCAACCUUAUGUGUGAAUGUACAAAACAUUUGUAAGUUAACCAAUACAAAUGAUCAGGAAAAGUAUUUCAUCAUACAAAGCAGCCAUGUGACAAUAUCUAGAUUUUUCGUCAUCAAACAUCUUCCUUCGACACAUCAUAGCUUCGUCAAACAUUGAAGAAAGGUCUUUUUUGUGAUUUCACAUUCCACGCGGCUGUAAGUGUUUAUUAAUGCUAGCAAGUAAUUAAAGCCUUGACUUGCUCUUGCCAACUGGGUGAAGAAUCAUUAUGAGAAACAACCAGAUCACUCCACUAGGUUGAAAUUAAAAAAUCUAGUAGCUUAUGCAGCCUAUAAUUAGCUUUUCAAGAUUAUUAGAUGAUUUCUGUCAAAAUGAAUACAUGGAUACUCCACUAUCUACAAUUUUGUAAUUUUUGCUCCCUGUUUAAUUCAACUCCAUGUUGAUUGCAUCUUCAAACAAUCAGAAAUAUUGUUCGAACAAACUAACUCUUGGAGGCUUAACUUUUAUUCUUGUUGUAAUUGCAGAAAAUGGAUGACAAAGCUAAAUUGACCAUUGUAGAGGAUUUUGAUAACCGAUCUUAAAAAAAGAAAAAUGUUCUGAAUCAGGUGUACUGCUCUAAAUUGUCAAAAUGAUCAGGUGUCCUGCUAUAUGAACCUCCAGGCAUUGGGAAGGUAAGUGUACUGAGUUUUAUACUUUGUCUGAAUUGAGUUUUCAUUCCCAUUUUCCAGAAGUUAGUUGUAUUCAACAGCAACAUAUACAUGCUCACUAGGAUGUUUUCUUGUGAAUUUUUUGACAUUACUUGCGAAAGCGGUAGUAAAUGAGUGCUCAUUAAACUUUCUUAGCGUAAAAGGUCCUGAACUUGUAAACAUGUACUCCCUCUGUAAACUAAUAUAAGAGUGUUUAGAUCACUACUUUAGUAUUCUAAACGCUCUUAUAUUAGUUUACGGAGGGAGUAUGUUGGAAAAUCAGACAAGAAAUAUCAGGGACAUCUUUGAUAAGGUAUAUCCAUCUGCACAAGCUAUGUAAUUGCCAUGAAAUAUGCACAUAUACCCAGGUUUUCAGUUUUCACUAUCAAUUUUAGGUUAGAUCAGCACACCCAUGAGUAAUUUUCUUUGAUGAGCUUGAUCCCCUCUGCUCCUACACGAGGGUCCUCUGCAGAUUCUGGAGGUGUGAUGGAUAUAGUAGUUUCUCAGGUAUAAUUAACGGCAUAAAUGAGGUGGUGACUGUUGUCUCAAUUUUCCCUCUCUUUUUUUACUUGCGCCUCAGUUUCCCUCUUAUUUUCAUUGUUUAAAUGUUAGAUUAAGCUAAUUCAGUUUCCUUUUUCUCUCUUUACUAGCACAAAUGCCUGACGGAGAUGCAUAUGUUUGGCAUUCUAUCAGUAAACAUACACUUGUGCUAGCUUGCAGUACUACUACAUUUUGUGAUUGUGUAGUAUCCACACCACUACUAAUCAUCAAGUCCGUUGCCUUGUCGUGUAAUUGUGUCAAAUGCACACCAAUACUAAUGCUCUAUGCUCUUGCCUCAGAGCACGUGUUGUGCUUUGCAUCAUCUAACAAAUAUGUAAACUAUGUAAGUAUAAACAGAAUUUAGCACUGUGAUCCAGUAGUGGACUAAUGUAUGUAUUUGGUGUGCUUGCAACUGCUUAUUUAUUACUUGCACCAGAAAUACCAAUAAGUUACUAUUGAAAAUUCAAAUAUGCUAUCAGAAAUAUGAAAACACACACGCA